UACGUAGGGAGCAAGCGUUGUUCGGAUUUACUGGGCGUAAAGGGCGCGUAGGCGGCCUGACAAGUCACUUGUGAAAUCUCUGGGCUUAACCCAGAACGGCCAAGUGAUACUGUCGCGCUAGAGUGCGGAAGGGGCAAUCGGAAUUCUCGGUGUAGCGGUGAAAUGCGUAGAUAUCGAGAGGAACACCUGAGGUGAAGACGGGUUGCUGGGCCGACACUGACGCUGAGUGCGCGAAAGCGUGGGGAGCGAACAGG
rnacentral:rRNA from 1 species